AAGUCGUAACAAGGUUUCCGUAGGUGAACCUGCGGAAGGAUCAUUAUCGAGUUUUUGAACGGGUUGUAGCUGGCCUUGUAACAGAGGCAUGUGCACGCCUGGCUCAUCCACUCUCUUAACCCCUGUGCACCAUAUGUAGGAAUGAACGGUGAACGUAUCUGCUUUGCGGGUGCUGAAGCCUUAGUUCUUAUGUUUUACUACAAACGCUUCAGUUUUAGAAUGUUUACUGUGUAUAACACAAAUAUACAACUUUCAGCAACGGAUCUCUUGGCUCUC
rnacentral:misc_RNA from 1 species